UAAAAAUUAAUUUAAUUAUUUUUUAAAUUAAAAAAAAUAUAAUCUAACUCGUAAUAUAAGAAUUCUAUCGUAAUUUAAACAUGGAAAUACUGGGAGACUGGAAAAAUCAAUAAUGGCUAAAUGGAGAGGGCAUUGAUUUUACCUAUUGGAAACAAGUGAAGUGAUAGAAAGGGUAAUUAGAUUGAAAAAUGAAGGGUAUUUGGAUAAAUAGAGCAAAAUAGGAAGAAUAAUAAGGGAGAAACGUGGCGAUACACGAUUCUCCCAUGGAAGCUUAAGAGGAUGAAAUUGUUGCAUGGCAAGAGAAAAGACACGUGGAACAGAAAGUCCCCGGAAGAGUAAAGGCCGACAAAUCCAGACAGCAGGUGGCGUGUUUUGGGAUCAAAAUCAAGCCUAAAGCUUCCCUUUCCCUUCUCUGCUAUGCCAUCGUCACCCAAUUCCAUGUUUCCCGCUGCUCACUGUCUCUUGUUUUAGUAUUUUAGGGGGCUUCUUCACCGAAGCUUGCGACUUGGUCUUUGUUUGAAUGAAGAGUGGACAAUGUCAGGAUUUUCAUGUCUGUCAUGUUUCAAUCGUUGAUUCGUCGUUUACACGUGCACGUGUAAUGGAAUUGGGAUCAACUUGAGCUGUAAUGGCUAUAGCUGGUUAUAUUGAGUUAUAAAUUCCUCCCAUGAUAAUUUAAUUGGAUUUUUCUAUAUCAAUGUAGGCAAGAAACUGGAUCGGUCAAGUCUGAAACUUUACGAAAAACAAGUGAAGCUGAUAGUAUAAAAAAAAUGCAUAGUUUUGUUGUUUUAAUU
rnacentral:lncRNA from 1 species